rnacentral:rRNA from 1 species
GACGAACGCUGGCGGCGUGCUUAACACAUGCGAGUCGAACGGAAAGGCCCUGCUUUUGUGGGGUGCUCGAGUGGCGAACGGGUGAGUAACACGUGAGUAACCUGCCCUUGACUUUGGGAUAACUUCAGGAAACUGGGGCUAAUACCGGAUAGGAGCUCCUGCUGCAUGGUGGGGGUUGGAAAGUUUCGGCGGUUGGGGAUGGACUCGCGGCUUAUCAGCUUGUUGGUGGGGUAGUGGCUUACCAAGGCUUUGACGGGUAGCCGGCCUGAGAGGGUGACCGGCCACAUUGGGACUGAGAGACGGCCCAGACGCCUACGGGAGGGAGGAGGGGGGAAUAUUGCACAAGGGGCGGAAGCCUGAUGCAGCAACGCCGCGUGCGGGAUGACGGCCUUCGGGUUGUAAACCGCUUUCGCCUGUGACGAAGCGUGAGUGACGGUAAUGGGUAAAGAAGCACCGGCUAACUACGU